rnacentral:rRNA from 1 species
UACGGGGGGGGCGAGCGUUGUCCGAAGUUACUGGGCGUAAAGCGCGUGUAGGCGGGUUGUUAAGUCCGCUGUGAAAGCCCGGUGCUCAACGCCGGAGGGUCGGUGGAUACUGGCAGUCUUGAAGUGGCUAGGGGGAAAUGGAAUUACCGGUGUAGCGGUGAAAUGCGUAGAUAUCGGUAGGAACACCAGUGGCGAAGGCGGUUUCCUGGAGCCCACUUGACGCUGAGACGCGAAAGCUGGGGGAGCAAACGGG